AUUUUCAUAGUUUAAAAAAAACCUUACAUUUUCAUUGUAAAAUUAGAAUAUAUCUUGAAAAUA
rnacentral:tRNA from 1 species